rnacentral:rRNA from 1 species
UGGGGAAUUUUGCACAAUGGGCGAAAGCCUGAUGCAGCGACGCCGCGUGAGCGAAGAAGGUCUUCGGAUCGUAAAGCUCUGUUUUAAGGGAAGAUAAUGACGGUACCUUAAGAGAAAGCCCCGGCUAACUACGUGCCAGCAGCCGCGGUAAUACGUAGGGGGCAAGCGUUAUCCGGAAUCACUGGGCGUAAAGGGUGCGUAGGCGGCCAUUAAAGUCAGAGGUGAAAUCCCAGGGCUCAACCCUGGUAAGCCUUUGAAACUUAAUGGCUUGAGUACAGGAGAGGAGAGUAGAAUUCCUAGUGUAGCGGUGAAAUGCGUAGAUAUUAGGAGGAAUACCAGUGGCGAAGGCGACUCUCUGGACUGUAACUGACGCUGAGGCACGAAAGCGUGGGUAGCGAACAGG